AUGGUCCCUGAGCUGGUGCAUGUAGGUUUCCAUUCUUCUGCCAGACCCUGGGCUGCGGCUUGCAGACGUUUUGCCCAUCAUCAGUUCUCCAUGCUAUUAUUUGACAAGUUCAGGCUGAAACAUAGUCCUGAGUGCUUUGCACAUGCUCUUGCUUCUCACUACAGCCCUUAUUCUGGGGGCAAAUGCGGCAUCCAGUGGUGGUUCUUUGAUGUCAUAGGACAGGAGAGUCCUGGGGAACUGCAACAUUCCGGAGAGCACCCGAGGGUGUGCCCCGGAUACAGAACCCACGCCCUAGCAGAGGGAGAGAAAACAAGUCUUUUUCAAAAGCACUUUGCAUGGCCCAGGCACCGUGCUAGGCAUUGGGGGCAUAACCAGGAACAAGACAGACCCAGUCAGCCCUUCCAGAAAUUACAGACCCAAAGGAGUGGUCCUCAGACAUUGGGUCACCACUGCACCAGUAACCUACAGAGGAGGAAACUGGGGCUUAGGGAGGAGUGCCUUGCUCAAGGUUUCAAAGCUGCACUGUCACUAGAACACAUCUUCUGACUCCCAGUCCAGUGCUCUCUGC
rnacentral:lncRNA from 1 species